rnacentral:rRNA from 1 species
UACGUAGGGUGCGAGCGUUGUCCGGAAUUAUUGGGCGUAAAGAGCUCGUAGGCGGUGUGUCACGUCGUUCGUGAAAACCUGCAGCUUAACUGUGGGCGUGCGGUCGAUACGGGCAUCACUGGAGUUCGGCAGGGGAGACUGGAAUUCCUGGUGUAGCGGUGAAAUGCGCAGAUAUCAGGAGGAACACCGGUGGCGAAGGCGGUUCUCUGGGACGGUACUGACGCUGAGACGCGAAAGCGUGGGGAGCGAACAGG